UGCAGUCGAGCGAAUGGAUUAAGAGUUUGCUCUUAUGAAGUUAGCGGCGGACGGGUGAGUAACACCUGGGUAACCUGCCCAUAGGACUGGGAUCCCUCCGGGAAACCGGUGCUAAUACCGGAUAUCUUUUUGAACCGCAUGGUUCCAAAUUGAAAGGCGGCUUCGGGUGUCACUUAUGGAUGGACCCGCGUCGGAUUAGCUAGUUGGUGAGGUAACGGAUCACCAAGGCAUCGAUGCGUAGCCGACCUGACAGGGUGAUCGGUCACACUGGGACUGAAACCCGGCCCAAACUCCUACGGGAGGCUUUUGUACGGAAUCUUCCGCACUGGACCAAAGUCUGACGGAGCGACGCCACGGGAGUGAUGAAGGCUUUCGGGUUUGACCACUCUGUUGUCCUUGAAUAACAAGUGCUAGUUGAAUAAGCUGGCCCCUUGACGGUACCUAACCAAAAAGCCACGGCUAACUACGUGCCAUCAGCCGCGGGAAUACGUAGGUGGCAAUUGUUGUCCGGAAUUAUUGGGCGUAAAGCGCGCGCAGAUGGAUUCUUAAGUCUGAUGUGAAAGCCCACGGCUCAACCGUGGAGGGUCAUUGGAAACUGUGACACUUGAGUGCAGAAUACGACAGUGGAAUUCCAUGUGUAUCGAUGAAGAUGCGUACAGAUAUGGAGGAACACCAGUGCCCUAAGGCGACUUUUCUGGUCUGUAACUGACACUGAGGCGCGAAAGACGUGAUUAGCUAACAUGAUUAGAUACCCCUG
rnacentral:rRNA from 1 species